UACGUAGGGGGCAAGCGUUGUCCGGAAUCAUUGGGCGUAAAGCGCGCGCAGGCGGUUUCUUAAGUCUGAUGUGAAAGCCCACGGCUCAACCGUGGAGGGUCAUUGGAAACUGGGGAACUUGAGUGCAGGAGAGAAGAGUGGAAUUCCACGUGUAGCGGUGAAAUGCGUAGAGAUGUGGAGGAACACCAGUGGCGAAGGCGACUCUUUGGCCUGUAACUGACACUGAGGCGCGAAAGCGUGGGGAGCAAACAGG
rnacentral:rRNA from 1 species